rnacentral:ncRNA from 2 species
UCUUUAUCAAGAGUGGUGGAGGGAAAGGCCCUUUGAAGCCACAGCAACCGGUCAUCCGUCGCCAAGGCGACGGGCGGUGUCAGGUGCUAACUCCUGCUCGCCGAGGCCCAUCGCCGAAGCGGGGAAGAUGAGGA